rnacentral:lncRNA from 1 species
UAAUAAACUUGUAGUACAUUGUAAUAACUUAAUUGUAUUUGGGAGUUGAAUAUAAUGUAAAAUGAAAACUGAGAUAUGAAUGCUUGUAAUAGCUAGUAGUUUUAUGUUUUUGAUACUUCCUUAUGCAAUCAUUGAUUGAAAUGUGUUCCUGGUUGGAAUCUCGUAUAUUGUAUUGAUUGCGACUGUAAGGACUGAGAUUUUUGCAGUGUAGCUAAACUCUCAGUUGACGAUGUUUUUGUGUGUAAUUUAAUUACAAAAGCACUUGUCAAGUUUCGGGCGAAAACGAGUUAAAACGGAAAUUCUACGCGAUUUCCAAGUUUCACUUAAAGUGAAUAGUAACUCGAUUUUCCGGAGAAGCCACGGUGGGAAGUUGGCUUCUGGCUCGUUCCGGACUCUGUUCAUAGCAGUCCAAUAGCUCGUUUCGACCGGGUCAGCUAUUCUGGAACUAAUGACGCUGACGGAUUUUGAGUUUGACGCACGGAUUUCGAGAAAAUCCAAAAAUACAUGUUUUAUAUGUAUUUACGUGUGUGUUUCCUUCUAUUCGAAGAAGGUGGGAUUUUGUCGUGAAUCCGUGGUCGAUCUAGAUGAAACGAAAUCGCAGCUUUGUUGUCUCCGUCGUGCUGAUCGCACUGGUACAAUCCGUUCGCAAAUCUGACGGACGGAUCUGCGGAGACCGCGCGUUGAUCGAGGAGAGGUCGGUAGUGGCAAAAUGGUAUUUUUGCGAAAGUCGCGAUAUUUUAUGUACCGUUUGGCGUGGGAUCGCACGUGGAGGGGCGUUCAUGCGUUUUAGUCGUACUGUGAGGGACUCGGAUUGUAAUUCUGAUGUUUGGG